rnacentral:rRNA from 1 species
CCUACGGGGGGCAGCAGUAAGGAAUAUUGGGCAAUGGGCGGGAGCCUGACCCAGCCAUGCCGCGUGCAGGAAGACGGCCUUAUGGGUUGUAAACUGCUUUUAUACGGGAAUAAUAGAGUGUACUAGUACGCUUAUGCAAGUAUCGUAUGAAUAAGCAUCGGCUAACUCCGUGCCAGCAGCCGCGGUAAUACGGAGGAUGCGAGCGUUAUCCGGAUUUAUUGGGUUUAAAGGGUGCGCAGGCGGAUUUAUAAGUCAGUGGUGAAACACUCCGGCUCAACUGGGGUACUGCCAUUGAUACUGUAGGUCUUGAGUUAAGAGGGCGUUGGCGGAAUGUGUCAUGUAGCGGUGAAAUGCAUAGAUAUGACACAGAACACCGAUAGCGAAGGCAGCUGACGAUACUUUAACUGACGCUCAUGCACGAGAGCGUGGGGAUCAAACAGGAUUAGAUACCCCAGUAGUCC